rnacentral:tRNA from 1 species
CAGAGGGUCGUUUAGCGGCUAAGAUUCCCGCUUUGGGGGCGGGCGACAUGGGUUCGAGUCCUUUCCCUUUGA